CCUCCCCCUUUGCUAAAUAAAUUAAAAGCAGAGAUGUCUCCUGAUGGAGAUGGAUGAGGCUGGGCUCACUUGCAUGCACUGUGCCACAGCCCUGAUCUGCUGCUUAGGGCAGAAGUGACCUUUCCCAGGCAGUGGGAGGGAGCUUCUCCCCACCCCGCUAUGCUGCUGCUUGGAAUUCAUCUUACAUAGCAGCCUUAUUAUCUUUUUAUCCCCCCUCCAAAGAACAGCUUGCUGCUUCGGUGAUUUUUUUUAUUAUUAUUAUUAUUUUUUAUUAUUAUUCUCAGCCUGUGUGUUGCAGCUUCCUCAUGAUCGUUUUGUGUGUGUGUAUGCUUUGAAUUGUAUUUUAAAAUUGCCCAGCUGGAGACAAGUCUUGAUUAGAGCUGGAACAAUAGCUCCAUUUUAUUAAUAAUGGGAAGGAUUUACGAUCCUACAGCACCUUCCUUGGAAGGCUUUCAAAACCAUUUGCAAACUCUCACAAAUGUAAGCUUUCACAGCCCUGCCUGUGAGGUGGGUAAGUAUUUCCACGGUGCCACCAAAAAUCAGGGAGAGCUGGAGUCGGUGUGUGCUACAAUAACGGCAGAUCCGGUGGGCUUUAGGGCUGCAAAGCUGGGAGGAGGGAGGCUGGUUAAAAGCUGUAACCUAAAUCUGUUUGGUGUUGUCUGUAGAUGCAGAUAUUUGUCUUUGUCCUGGGAACCAGGCUGCUAUUUCUCAGCCUGCUCCGUGCUCCUCCUUGCUUUUUGCAGAGCGAAGAUUCGGACUUGCCUGCUUGUCAGUAAACAUCUGCAUAUAGAUUUAUUUAUUUUUUUUUUAAUUCAUUACUUUUUUUGUAGUCCCCAGGUGACCUCCUUUAGUGCUGGCUCUGCUGCGGUCUGACCACAGCUUUGCAUUAAAGCAGGCUGCGAGCACUAAUGUGUCUCCGUGCAAGUCCACGUGACCUUGCUCAGGGGACAGGGCCCACUGAGCUAAUGCAGAUGCUCCACUUCAAUUACACAACCCUGCAUCCCCUCCCUGACCCAAGAAGCAUAGGGGAAUGUUGCAAUGUUAUGGGUGAAAGCUGUCUUCUGCCCUAAUUUUUAUUUUAUUUUUUUUCCUCCCAGGGAAAUGCAGGAUUGUUUGUGUAACUCCCACUCUGCAGCAGAUAGCUUCUCUGUGAGUAUUGUAAACAUGCAGCAAGCUGGGCAGUGGGAUCUGGCCUUGCUGAGGAGGGUAAGGCACAGUUCUCUGGUUGUGUGAGUGCUUUACACCUCCACAGAAAGCCACAAUGUUUCUGUGGUUACUUGUGGAGGGCAUGAGCGGGUCCCAGGGCUUCCCCUUCCCACCCUGUACUGUUUCACAAAAGAGAAAGCUGCUGCUUCUGGAAGAAGCUCUGCCUUGUGGCCUUAUUUAAAAAAAAAAAAAAGAAGGCUGUGGAUUAGUCAUCAUUAUCGUUAAAGGAGGCUGCGUGUGCUGGUGCGUGUGUGAUGUUAAGCAUUAGUUUAUUUGGGAGGGCUGGUAAUGUGCUCGGGUCGCUGCUCCUGGAGCAGUGCCACCAGGCUCCAUCAAGCUGCUGCUGGCAGGUGGAAAAGCUGACGGGCUGCUGUCGGUCCCCUUCCAUCCCUUUUCCCUUUUCAGUUUCUCUGCACUGGCAGGUGUGGGAAGGAGGAGACCGAAACGACAGCGAGGAGGACAGGCGAGGUUCCAGUGCCAGAGAAGAAACCCUGUGCUUUUCUAUCCUUGCUUUUAUUCUAAGCACAACUGACUGCAUCUUGUAAGAAGACUUAGUUUGACCCUUUUGGAUGAUAAAAACAGUGCUGGUUUUAAUCGUUUAUUUUUAUCCCUUCCCUGUGGUCGUGUAGAGGAGUGAGCUGUGCAAUUAAAAUGGGAUAGCAAAGGACAGCUCCCUCCCCCUUUCCCAUUUCAAAAAACCUUCUGGAGUUGUGUGUUCUUGAAUUGCUGCAUAGGCAGAAAGCAUACAAUGCAGUUGUCAGCAUUGUGCUGAUGUGUGGCACAUUAAAAAAAAAAAAAAUACACACAAAAGGGGUGGGGAGAGCGGGUGCCUCCGGGGAGUAAAACUGUGGGGCCCCUUUCCCUACCAGCAAACAGACCUACAUGCAAUAGUUUAUUACUUCUCAUUUUGCUCAGGCAAAUGUAAUGCACAGACGUCAGAGGGAGCGUUGCAACAUGCUAAAUGGUGUUGCUGAAGAUCAGGGUCCCCUUGAACUAUUUUUCCUGUGAGCUUGCUCCCAUGAGAUGCCACAGCUUUAUUACUCAAUUCCUCAAAGUUGUGCUUACUUGCCAGAAGGAAGGAGAAUGCUUCCUUUCUGGGUGUGAUUUCUUUUGUUGUGAGGCAGAAGGUAAUCAAAAGCAGCUGGUUCUGAUCUCUCCUAGGUCGCCAUGACUUCAAAAUGCAUAGUCCAAGCAGUGAGCAAGGAGAGCAGGCCACGACACCCUGUAGGAAUUGUACUACUUUUCUGUCAGUUUGGAAUAACUGGGUUUCCUUGGGAGUGUUGGACUUCUAUUACCGCAUGCUUUGGAUUGAAGAGUUACCAGAAUGACAUCUGUGAGGUUUCCAAGCUAAACAAAACCUGAAUUUCUAAUGCUAAAAGCAACCUGGAAGACAGAAGCCUUCUGCCUAGAGGAUGAAAUGCUUCAUGUUUGGAAAAAACUAGCAGGCUUUGUUUCUGACAGCUCCUUGACUGUGGAUGUCCUUCCAGCCAGGCUGCCUGCAGUGUGACAGCAGUGACCCUGCAUGAGGUUUCUUUGAAGGACCUGGGAGACCGUGUGGCUUUUUUUAGUCCCUCAGAGGUGUUUUCCUGGCAGGGAGGGAGGAAAAUGUUUGGAAAUGCUGUCACAGGAGGCAUGCUUACCUGGCUAGGGGAAAACCUGCUGUAGAAAAGCCAGCUGGCGCACGGUUUGAAGAGGGAUAGGUUCCUUUCUCUCCAAAAUGGAAUCCCUUAAGGAAGGUAUAGACAAGUAGUUCCUACUCUUGAGGUUUCUGACUGGUUAAAACAUGGAGCUGAGCCCAUUUCCAUGCAGAAAUGUGUGGUACAGUGCAUUGCAAUGCUUUUCCUUGCGUGUGCAGGGUCACACGCUUUACUAAUGGUUUGCAUGCAAGAAGUUAUUGCUUUUUUAUUUUUAAUCAGUCCAUCUCCAUUCAGCAGAGCAGCUUCACACCCACCAUCACAGGGGAAACUGAGGCACGGGGCCACUGUGGGAUUACAGGCAGAGCUGGGGAUAAGGCUCAGGUUUGCAGAGGCUCAGGCUGACGUGCGUCAGAGGGCUGCUUAAAUGGAGAGAUUUGCAAAGGGAAGUGACCUACAGCUCGAUGGCUGGGACUGCUGCUGGACCUGAAUCUUACGGGUGCCUUCAAACUCAAACCGCAGUUUGGUCAGGGGAAGAAUUUGGCAGCACGGUGCCCACGGUGAGAUUUGGUGAGCUCCUCCAGUGCCAGAGCCUGGCCCACAGCCAGCCCACGGGGUUCAUACGGCACUGAACUUUGGAGCCAUUAGAGAUAAACAGCGCUAUAGGCUAAUAAAAGGCUCUGCAUCACAGGGCCCUUGUCUGCUCACGCCACAAUUAAUUUUUUACUUGCUGAUUGCAGUGAGGGAAGAGUGCUGGGUUUGCUUUGUGCUGGGCUUGGAUGGUGAGGAGUGGGCAGAUCCUCGAUGCCUUUUGCCCUGCACCCGUUUUUGCACGGCAGCCCUUUACCUUUCACACCGCGUCCCAUUUUUUCCCCGCUCAUUUUGUAUUGCAGCCCCACUGUUUUGCAAAAGCCCCCCUUUAUUUCUUUGCACUGUACGUCUUUAUUUGCAAUCCCUUCAUUGCACUGCAUUCACUCAUCACCUCGCCCUGCAGCCCCGGUCUUUGCCACGCAUCCCUUAUUUUCCACAACCCACCUCGUGCAUUUACUACUUUCCAUCGCAGCUCCCGUUUAUUGGCUCGUACCUCAUCUCUUUUUUUUUGCCGUACUUCCUUUAUCUACGAUUCUCAGCCCAGUCUUUUUUUUUUUUUGUAUUUUUUGCAAUAAAACCCCUCCGUCACGUCGCAUCGCACCGCGCUCCUCCCGCUUCCCCUGCGCUACCCGCGCAUGCGCACUCCCCCUCCCUCCCGAGGGGCGUUGCGUGCUCGCGCCCCUCCCUCCUCCCCGGGGCCGCGCGCCUGAGCGCGCACUGCGCCUGCGCGGGGGCCCCCGUGUGGCGCCGCGAGAGGAGGGGGGGGGGCGAGCGGGCCCGAGGCGGCGGAGCAGCGAAGGGCGCGGAGGAGGAGGAGGAGGAGGAGGAGGAGGAGAGGGGGGGGCGCCGCGCUGCCGCUGACGGAGGAGGAGGAGGCAGCGAGCGAGCCACGGCCGAGGCGGGGGGAGGCACCGAGGAAGAAAAGCGGCCGAGGGGCAGCCCGCCGCCCCGCAGCCGGCCCGCGAGCCUCGGGGCCCCCCCGCGGGGGAUGGUGUGGUCCGCCGGGGCCGCCGCCGCGGGGGGAGGCAGCCGGCG